rnacentral:rRNA from 1 species
GCUUUUGAAUAUACUUAGUGGCGGACGGGUGAGUAACGCGUGGGCAAUCUGCCCGUAAGAGGGGGAUAACACCGAGAAAUUGGUGUUAAUACCGCAUAACAUCAUGGUGCUGCAUAGUAUUGUGAUCAAAGGAGAAAUCCACUUACGGAUGAGCCCGCGUCUGAUUAGCUAGUUGGUAGGGUAACGGCCUACCAAGGCGACGAUCAGUAGCCGGCCUGAGAGGGUGAACGGCCACACUGGAACUGAGACACGGUCCAGACUCCUACGGGAGGCAGCAGUGGGGAAUCUUCCGCAAUGGGCGAAAGCCUGACGGAGCAACGCCGCGUGAGUGAAGAAGGCCUUCGGGUUGUAAAACUCUGUCUUCAGGGAAGAAAAAAAUGACGGUACCUGAGGAGGAAGCCACGGCUAACUACGUGCCAGCAGCCGCGGUAAUACGUAGGUGGCAAGCGUUGUCCGGAAUUACUGGGCGUAAAGAGCGCGUAGGCGGGAAUUUAAGUCAGGAGUGAAAACUGCCGGCUCAACUGGCAGCCUGCUCUUGAAACUGGAUUUCUUGAGGGUAUGAGAGGAAAGCGGAAUUCCUAGUGUAGCGGUGAAAUGCGUAGAUAUUAGGAGGAACACCAGUGGCGAAGGCGGCUUUCUGGCAUACAACUGACGCUGAGGCGCGAAAGCGUGGGGAGCAAACGGGAUUAGAUACCCCGGUAGUCCACGCCGUAAACGAUGGGCACUAGGUGUAGGAGGUAUCGACCCCUUCCGUGCCGUAGUUAACACAAUAAGUGCCCCGCCUGGGGAGUACGGCCGCAAGGUUGAAACUCAAAGGAAUUGACGGGGGCCCGCACAAGCGGUGGAGUAUGUGGUUUAAUUCGACGCAACGCGAAGAACCUUACCAGGGCUUGACAUCC